rnacentral:rRNA from 1 species
CCUACGGGAGGCAGCAGUGGGGAAUCUUGCGCAAUGGGGGAAACCCUGACGCAGCGACGCCACGUGGGUGAUGAAGGCCUUCGGGUCGUAAAGCCCUGUCAGGUGGGAAGAAACCUACUGGCUCGAAUAGGGCUGGUAGCUGACGGUACCACCAGAGGAAGCAUCGGCUAACUCCGUGCCAGCAGCCGCGGUAAUACGGAGGGUGCGAGCGUUGCUCGGAAUCACUGGGCGUAAAGCGCGUGUAGGCGGUCAGGCAAGUCAGAUGUGAAAGCCCCUGGCUUAACCAGGAAAGUGCAUUUGAAACUGCUUGGCUGGAGCACGGGAGAGGAGAGUGGAAUUCCCGGUGUAGAGGUGAAAUUCGUAGAUAUCGGGAGGACCACCGGUGGCGAAGGCGGCUCUCUGGCCCGAUACUGCCGCUGAGACGCGAAAGCAUGGGGAGCAAACAGGAUUAGAUCCCCGGGUAGU